GGGGACUGUGCAUCAGCAGAUGAGGUUCUGCUUUGCAAGUAGAAGGUUCCAGGUUCAUUCCCCGGCAUCUCCA
rnacentral:tRNA from 1 species